CAAGGUGCUGCGCUCCUCUGUGGGAAGUGUUAAGAAUAACAAGAUGGGAGACAAGUCUUUGCCCCCAGGGAGCUUGCAGUGUGGUCGGACUGAAAUAAAGGUGACAAUGGUGGAAAGGACUCAAGUACCAUGGUUGUUGGUUGCAUGCUACUCUCCACGUGGGCCCCCCACUCAGCAUCCUUGGUUUCCAAAUCCCAGAGGGAUUCUUGGGGCAGCCUUAAUGGACUGAGAAAAUGGCUGAUCAUCUUCAGUGGACAGAAGUCUUCUAUCUGCUAUCUGGAGUACUCCUUGAACAAAGACAAUAAGGAAAGCGAAUUAAUAGUCCAAAGAAUACCUGUGUCAGUCCGUGUCUCUCCAUUUGCCGGUGCUGG
rnacentral:lncRNA from 1 species